CAUAUGGAUUCAGUCUGUUUGCAGAUUCUGAUUAUUGAGUUCAUGCUUGAUGUGUUAAUGGGACAAUCUUGGAAAAUCUGUAUUUCCCAUUGCUUUUUGUGAGUUUUUCUGGUUGUCCAUUGUGAUAUCCAUUUUCUUGUAAACAGAACAGGAUGGUACAAUAUGUGUAUUGUAUUCAAGGCUUUCUAACUUCCAUUUUGUGGUGUAGUAUCUCACUUUGCUUUAUCUUUAACUCUCUGAGAAUGUUUGGAUAGGUUAUGGCCCAUGUGGAACCAAUUGUUUGUUCAGAAAGGGAUCCGAUACAGAGUAGUGCAGUUCUUGGGAAGCCCCGUAUUUUAGUAGCUGCAAGUGGAAGUGUAGCUGCAAUAAAAUUUGGGAGUCUAUGUCACACUUUUUCUGAAUGGGCAGAAGUUAGAGCAGUUGCCACCAAGGCUUCUUUACACUUUAUUGAUAAAGCAUCACUUCCUAAGGAUGUUGUUCUUUACACUCAUGAGGAUGAAUGGUCCAGUUGGAAGACAAUAGGAGACAGUGUGCUUCAUAUUGAGCUCCGCAGGUGGGCUGAUGUCAUGGUUAUUGCACCCUUGUCAGCAAAUACCCUUGCCAUGAUUGCU